rnacentral:rRNA from 1 species
CCUACGGGUGGCAGCAGUAGGGAAUAUUGCUCAAUGGGGGAAACCCGGAAGCAGCAACGCCGCGUGGAGGAUGAAGGUUUUAGGAUUGUAAACUCCUUUUGUUAGAGAAGAUGAUGACGGUAUCUAACGAAUACGCACCGGCUAACUCCGUGCCAGCAGCCGCGGUAAUACGGAGGGUGCAAGCGUUACUCGGAAUCACUGGGCGUAAAGAGUGCGUAGGCGGGGGAAUAAGUCAGAUUUGAAAUCCUGGAGAUAAACUAUAGAACUGCAUUGAAACUGUUACUCGGGAGUGUGGGAGAGGUAUGUGGAAUUCUUGGUUUAGGGGUAAAAUCCGUAGAGAUCAAGAGGAAUACUCAUUGCGAAGGCGACCUGCUGGAACAUUACUGACGCUGAUGCACGAAAGCGUGGGGAGCAAACAGGAUCAGAUACCCGAGUAGUC